GCAUUGAACUUAAGAUUCAGAUAUAAAGUAUUUUUCAACUUUUAUUAAAA
rnacentral:tRNA from 1 species